rnacentral:rRNA from 1 species
CCCUUAGAUGUUCUGGGCCGCACGCGCGCUACACUGAUGCAUUCAACGAGUUUUGUUUGUUCCUUGGCCGAGAGGCCUGGGCAAUCUUUUGAACUUGCAUCGUGAUAGGGAUAGAUUAUUGCAAUUAUUAAUCUUGAACGAGGAAUUCCUAGUAAACGCAGAUCAUCAAUCUGCAUUGAUUACGUCCCUGCCCUUUGUACACACCGCCCGUCGCACCUACCGAUUGAAUGGUCCGGUGAAGCCUCAGGAUUGUGGUUGGUUUCCUUUAUUGGAGAUUGAUUGCGAGAACUUGUCUAAACCUUAUCAUUUAGAGGAAGGUGAAGUCGUAACA